AAAAUGUUUCUAAAGUUAACUGGACUCUGUGCUUUCCUCGCUUUACUUUCCGUUACUUCGGCCUAUAAAAUAACACCAAAUGUUAUCGAUGGCAUUCCUGGUUUCUUAAAUAUAACAACUGCUCCGUUUAUAAAGAUUGGGUCAAGCUAUUACUUUAUUGAAAGUAAACUGCUAAAGAAUUGGUACGACGCUUACGAAAAUUGCCGGAAAAUAGGAGCAGAGUUAAUAGAGAUCACAAACAGGAAGAAAUUAAGUGAAAUAUAUUCAUACCUCGCUGGGAAAAAACUGUUUGUACACUUUUGGACCUCUGGCACUGAUAUGGCAAAACAGGGAAAACAUAUUUGGUUUACGAGUGGUAAUCCCGUAUCUUCUGAUUUGUGGCUCCCGGGAGAGCCGAAUAACCGUGACAAUAUUGAGCGCUGCGAGGAGUUGGGGAUUCACGAGAAAAUCGGUGGACUAAAUGACAAUAAAUGUGAAAAACUUAAUCGCUAUAUUUGUGAAGCACCCCAGCCAAAAACUGCUUCAUUCGUUAUAUGGUAAAUACAUUUCGUUUUGUAAACAAAAAAAGGCAACUUUGAUUGUUUUUUAUGUAUUGAUUUUUAUGUUUUUAAAAUACGCGAAACUAGUUUAAUUAACUGUGAAUUAAAUAAAAAAAAGUACAGAUGAUACAAA